rnacentral:rRNA from 1 species
CGUUGAUUUCACACUGCCGAGAAAAGCCUCUAGAUAGAAAAUAGGUGCCCGUACCGCAAACCGACACAGGUAGUCAAGAUGAGAAUUCUAAGGUGAGCGAGCGAACUCUCGUUAAGGAACUCGGCAAAAUGACCCCGUAACUUCGGGAGAAGGGGUGCUCUUUAGGGUUAACGCCCAGAAGAGCCGCAGUGAAUAGGCCCAAGCGACUGUUUAUCAAAAACACAGGUCUCUGCUAAACCGUAAGGUGAUGUAUAGGGGCUGACGCCUGCCCGGUGCUGGAAGGUUAAGAGGAGUGGUUAGCUUCUGCGAAGCUACGAAUCGAAGCCCCAGUAAACGGCGGCCGUAACUAUAACGGUCCUAAGGUAGCGAAAUUCCUUGUCGGGUAAGUUCCGACCCGCACGAAAGGCGUAACGAUUUGGGCACUGUCUCAACGAGAGACUCGGUGAAAUCAUAGUACCUGUGAAGAUGCAGGUUACCCGCGACAGGACGGAAAGACCCCGUGGAGCUUUACUGUAGCCUGAUAUUGAAAUUCGGCACAGCUUGUACAGGAUAGGUAGGAGCCUUUGAAACGUGAGCGCUAGCUUACGUGGAGGCGCUGGUGGGAUACUACCCUAGCUGUGUUGGCUUUCUAACCCGCACCACUUAUCGUGGUGGGAGACAGUGUCAGGCGGGCAGUUUGACUGGGGCGGUCGCCUCCUAAAAGGUAACGGAGGCGCUCAAAGGUUCCCUCAGAAUGGUUGGAAAUCAUUCAUAGAGUGUAAAGGCAUAAGGGAGCUUGACUGCGAGACCUACAAGUCGAGCAGGGUCGAAAGACGGACUUAGUGAUCCGGUGGUUCCGCAUGGAAGGGCCAUCGCUCAACGGAUAAAAGCUACCCCGGGGAUAACAGGCUUAUCUCCCCCAAGAGUUCACAUCGACGGGGAGGUUUGGCACCUCGAUGUCGGCUCAUC